rnacentral:rRNA from 1 species
GGGUUGUGAGGUUAAGCGACUAAGCGUACACGGUGGAUGCCCUGGCAGUCAGAGGCGAUGAAGGACGUGCUAAUCUGCGAAAAGCGUCGGUAAGGUGAUAUGAACCGUUAUAACCGGCGAUGUCCGAAUGGGGAAACCCAGUGCAAUUCGUUGCACUAUCGUUAACUGAAUACAUAGGUUAACGAGGCGAACCGGGGGAACUGAAACAUCUAAGUACCCCGAGGAAAAGAAAUCAACCGAGAUUCCCCCAGUAGCGGCGAGCGAACGGGGAGCAGCCCAGAGUCUGAAUCAGCUUGUGUGUUAGUGGAACGGUCUGGAAAGUCCGACGGUACAGGGUGAUAGUCCCGUACACCAAAAUGCACAGGCUGUGAACUCGAAGAGUAGGGCGGGACACGUGGUAUCCUGUCUGAAUAUGGGGGGACCAUCCUCCAAGGCUAAAUACUCCUGACUGACCGAUAGUGAACCAGUACCGUGAGGGAAAGGCGAAAAGAACCCCGGCGAGGGGAGUGAAAAAGAACCUGAAACCGUGUACGUACAAGCAGUGGGAGCACCUUCGGGUGUGACUGCGUACCUUUGUAUAAUGGGUCAGCGACUUAUAUUCUGUAGCAAGGUUAACCGUAUAGGGAGCCGCAGGGAAACCGAGUCUUAACUGGGCGUUAAGUUGCAGGGUAUAGACCCGAAACCCGGUGAUCUAGCCAUGGGCAGGUUGAAGGUUGGGUAACACUAACUGGAGGACCGAACCGACUAAUGUUGAAAAAUUAGCGGAUGACUUGUGGCUGGGGUGAAAGGCCAAUCAAACCGGGAGAUAGCUGGUUCUCCCCGAAAGCUAUUUAGGUAGCGCCUCGUGAACUCAUCUUCGGGGUAGAGCACUGUUUCGGCUAGGGGUCAUCCCGACUUACCAACCCGAUGCAAACUACGAAUACCGAAGAAUGUUAUCACGGGAGACACACGGCGGGUGCUAACGUCCGUCGUGAAGAGGGAAACAACCCAGACCGCCAGCUAAGGUCCCAAAGUCAUGGUUAAGUGGGAAACGAUGUGGGAAGGCACAGACAGCCAGGAUGUUGGCUUAGAAGCAGCCAUCAUUUAAAGAAAGCGUAAUAGCUCACUGGUCGAGUCGGCCUGCGCGGAAGAUGUAACGGGGCUAAACCAUGCACCGAAGCUGCGGCAGCGACACUAUGUGUUGUUGGGUAGGGGAGCGUUCUGUAAGCCUGCGAAGGUGUGCUGUGAGGCAUGCUGGAGGUAUCAGAAGUGCGAAUGCUGACAUAAGUAACGAUAAAGCGGGUGAAAAGCCCGCUCGCCGGAAGACCAAGGGUUCCUGUCCAACGUUAAUCGGGGCAGGGUGAGUCGAGCCCUAAGGCGAGGCCGAAAGGCGUAGUCGAUGGGAAACAGGUUAAUAUUCCUGUACUUGGUGUUACUGCGAAGGGGGGACGGAGAAGGCUAUGUUAGCCGGGCGACGGUUGUCCCGGUUUAAGCAUGUAGGCUGGUUGUCCAGGCAAAUCCGGAUAAUCAAGGCUGAGGUGUGAUGACGAGGCACUACGGUGCUGAAGUAACAAAUGCCCUGCUUCCAGGAAAAGCCUCUAAGCAUCAGGUAACAUCAAAUCGUACCCCAAACCGACACAGGUGGUCAGGUAGAGAAUACCAAGGCGCUUGAGAGAACUCGGGUGAAGGAACUAGGCAAAAUGGUGCCGUAACUUCGGGAGAAGGCACGCUGGUGUGUAGGUGAAGUCCCUGCGGAUGGAGCUGAGACCAGUCGAAGAUACCAGCUGGCUGCAACUGUUUAUUAAAAACACAGCACUGUGCAAACACGAAAGUGGACGUAUACGGUGUGACGCCUGCCCGGUGCCGGAAGGUUAAUUGAUGGGGUUAUCCGUAAGGAGAAGCUCUUGAUCGAAGCCCCGGUAAACGGCGGCCGUAACUAUAACGGUCCUAAGGUAGCGAAAUUCCUUGUCGGGUAAGUUCCGACCUGCACGAAUGGCGUAAUGAUGGCCAGGCUGUCUCCACCCGAGACUCAGUGAAAUUGAACUCGCUGUGAAGAUGCAGUGUACCCGCGGCAAGACGGAAAGACCCCGUGAACCUUUACUAUAGCUUGACACUGAACAUUGAGCCUUGAUGUGUAGGAUAGGUGGGAGGCUUUGAAGCGUGGACGCCAGUCUGCGUGGAGCCAACCUUGAAAUACCACCCUUUAAUGUUUGAUGUUCUAACGUUGGCCCCUUACCGGGGUUGCGGACAGUGUCUGGUGGGUAGUUUGACUGGGGCGGUCUCCUCCCAAAGCGUAACGGAGGAGCACGAAGGUUAGCUAAUCCUGGUCGGACAUCAGGAGGUUAGUGCAAUGGCAUAAGCUAGCUUGACUGCGAGCGUGACGGCGCGAGCAGGUGCGAAAGCAGGUCAUAGUGAUCCGGUGGUUCUGAAUGGAAGGGCCAUCGCUCAACGGAUAAAAGGUACUCCGGGGAUAACAGGCUGAUACCGCCCAAGAGUUCAUAUCGACGGCGGUGUUUGGCACCUCGAUGUCGGCUCAUCACAUCCUGGGGCUGAAGUAGGUCCCAAGGGUAUGGCUGUUCGCCAUUUAAAGUGGUACGCGAGCUGGGUUUAGAACGUCGUGAGACAGUUCGGUCCCUAUCUGCCGUGGGCGCUGGAGAAUUGAGGGGGGCUGCUCCUAGUACGAGAGGACCGGAGUGGACGCAUCACUGGUGUUCGGGUUGUCAUGCCAAUGGCACUGCCCGGUAGCUAAAUGCGGAAGAGAUAAGUGCUGAAAGCAUCUAAGCACGAAACUUGCCCCGAGAUGAGUUCUCCCUGAGACUUUAAGUCUCCUGAAGGAACGUUAAAGACGAUGACGUUGAUAGGCCGGGUGUGUAAGCGCAGCGAUGCGUUGAGCUAACCGGUACUAAUGAACCGUGAGGCUUAACCUUACAACGCCGAAG